CCUACGGGAGGCAGCAGUGGGGAAUAUUGGACAAUGGGCGAAAGCCUGAUCCAGCAAUGCCGCGUGAGUGAUGAAGGCCUUAGGGUUGUAAAGCUCUUUUACCAGGGAUGAUAAUGACAGUACCUGGAGAAUAAGCUCCGGCUAACUCCGUGCCAGCAGCCGCGGUAAUACGGAGGGAGCUAGCGUUGUUCGGAAAUACUGGGCGUAAAGCGCACGUAGGCGGCACAGCAAGUCAGGGGUGAAAUCCCGGGGCUCAACCCCGGAACUGCCCUUGAAACUGCUGAGCUAGAAUCCUGGAGAGGUGAGUGGAAUUCCGAGUGUAGAGGUGAAAUUCGUAGAUAUUCGGAAGAACACCAGUGGCGAAGGCGACUCACUGGACAGGUAUUGACGCUGAGGUGCGAAAGCGUGGGGAGCAAACAGGAUUAGAUACCCUUGUAGUC
rnacentral:rRNA from 1 species